rnacentral:rRNA from 1 species
GACGUAGGGCGCGAGCGUUGUCCGGAUUUAUUGGGCGUAAAGAGCUCGUAGGCGGCUUGUCGCGUCGACUGUGAAAACUCGGGGCUCAACUCCGAGCUUGCAGUCGAUACGGGCAGGCUAGAGUUCGGUAGGGGGAGACUGGAAUUCCUGGUGUAGCGGUGAAAUGCGCAGAUAUCAGGAGGAACACCGGUGGCGAAGGCGGGGUCUCUGGGCCGAUACUGACGCUGAGGAGCGAAAAGCGUGGGGGAGCGAACAGG